UACGAAGGGGGCUAGCGUUGUUCGGAUUUACUGGGCGUAAAGCGCGCGUAGGCGGGUUGUUAAGUCAGGGGUGAAAUGCCGAGGCUCAACCUCGGAACUGCCUUUGAUACUGGCAACCUGGAGUUCGGGAGAGGUGAGUGGAAUUCCGAGUGUAGAGGUGAAAUGCGUAGAUAUGCGGAGGAACAACAGAAGCGAAGGCGGCUCACUGGCCCGAUACUGACGCUGAGGCGCGAAAGCGUGGGGAGAAAACAGG
rnacentral:rRNA from 1 species